UACAGAGGUCUCAAGCGUUGUUCGGAAUCAUUGGGCGUAAAGGGUGCGUAGGCCGCACGGUAAGUCAGAGGUGAAAUCCCGGAGCUCAACUUCGGAAUUGCCUCCGAUACUGCCGUGCUUGAGGACUGGAGAGGAGAUUGGAAUUCACAGUGGAGCAGUGAAAUGCGUAGAUAUUGUGAGGAACACUAGUGGCGAAGGCGAAUCUCUGGACAGUUCCUGACGCUGAGGCACGAAGGCCAGGGGAGCAAACGGG
rnacentral:rRNA from 1 species